CUUCUGGAGCAGAUCCUGGAUCACUGGUUUGAGUCAGAGCCCUUGAAGGCCACUCUGGCAACAGAUGCAGUGAUUGGGGCCAUGAGCA
rnacentral:pre_miRNA from 1 species